rnacentral:rRNA from 1 species
GACGAACGCUGGCGGCGUGCUUAACACAUGCAAGUCGAGCGGUAAGGCCCUUUCGGGGGUACACGAGCGGCGAACGGUGAGUAACACGUGGGUGACCUGCCCUCAGCUCUGGGAUAAGCCUGGGAAACUGGGUCUAAUACUGGAUAUGACUCCACGGUGCAUGUCGGUGGGGUGGAAAGCCUUGUGCCGGCUGAGGAUGGGCCCGCGGCCUAUCAGCUUGGUUGGUGGGGUGANGGCCUACCAAGGCGACGACGGGUAGCCGGCCUGAGAGGGCGACCGGCCACACGUGGGACUGAGACACCGGCCCAGACUCCGUACGGGAGGCAGCAGUGGGGAAUCUUGCGCAAGUGGGCGAAAGCCUGACGCAGCGACGCCGCGUGAGGGAUGAC